rnacentral:pre_miRNA from 1 species
CACAUACUUCCUCCGUUCAGAAUUACUUAUCGUAGAAAUGGAUGUAUCUAGACGCAUUUUAGUUCUAAAUACAUCUAUUUCCGAGACAAAUAAUUCCGAACGGAGGGAGUACAAA